AUGUAAAUAUACUGGUAUGUUUUCUGUCAAUUUCUGUGGCAGGGAAUCAAAUUGUUAAAACUGAAAUAACAUUGUUCAAAGUUGUUUGUGAAUAUAAAAAUUACAGCCAGGAUAAUGUUUAAUGAAUUUUUUGUUUUCCUGAAAUUAUAGGGCAUUUAUUUCAGUACUGAAUGUGAACUAUCAUUUAACAGUCUCAUUAUAUUCACCAUAAUCAUAUCUAUUUAUUGAGAAUAAAGGUAUGAAUAUUUGUAGUUAUAUGUAUUUAUGUAAGAAGGAGUAUUUAUGAUGUAGGCCCACCCAUUCUUCUGUUUAUUCAUAUAUUUCCAUUCAGCCAAGUGUGCUUAUUGUAUUCAUGUAAGUAGGGGUAUUUAUGAUGUAGACCUCGCCAUUCUUUUGUCAAGCCUUCUGUUUAUUCAUAUUUCCAUUCAGCCAAGUGUGCUUAUUUUUACGUGUGAUGAUGUUCCUAGAGCACUGAUUCAGCAGGAAAAAAUCCCCACAGCUGAUUUAAAAAAUUUAAACCACAUCGUGUUUUUUAUUUAUUUUUUUUGUGGAAUGAUAACUUAAAGUCAAAUAGAUAUCAGGGCUUUUCAUUGAAACCGUGAGAAACUUUCCAUGAAAUUUCAAUGCACGUUAAAGGUCAUGAUCAUGCCAUUUUUUUGGCCUAAAUGUUGUAUAAUUGUCGUGUCUUUGUUUUAAAAUUUACAUAAAAAGGUAUAUACAAGAUUUAUAAGUUGUGCUUGCAACAUGACGUUUUAAUAGUGAACCACAACUUUGAACUGUAAAUCUUAUGGAGUUGCUACCCUUUGCAUGAAAUAUCUUGUUACCACACAAACUAGAGAUACAAAAUUUUACCUAGUUAAAGUUACAUAAAAAGUAAGGGCUCCGAUACCACCUGUAUACACUUAUUGCCAUUGAAAAGUUUAUUGAUUUAUCUGAGUUUAAACUUUGUAAACCCCUUAUUGGUAGGCAUGAAACCAUUUUUUUUAAAAUUGAAAUUAAUCGCUAUUAACCUUGUAUAUUUAUUAAAGUUAUUAAGGUCAUGACUUGUUUACAAGUUCCUGU
rnacentral:sRNA from 1 species